rnacentral:rRNA from 1 species
UGGGGAAUUUUGGACAAUGGGGGAAACCCUGAUCCAGCCAUCCCGCGUGUGCGAUGAAGGCCUUCGGGUUGUAAAGCACUUUUGGCAGGAAAGAAACGUCGCGGGUUAAUACCCCGCGGAACUGACGGUACCUGCAGAAUAAGCACCGGCUAACUACGUGCCAGCAGCCGCGGUAAUACGUAGGGUGCAAGCGUUAAUCGGAAUUACUGGGCGUAAAGCGUGCGCAGGCGGUUCGGAAAGAAAGAUGUGAAAUCCCAGAGCUAACUUUGGAACUGCAUUUUUAACUACCGGGCUAGAGUGUGUCAGAGGGAGGUGGAAUUCCGCGUGUAGCAGUGAAAUGCGUAGAUAUGCGGAGGAACACCGAUGGCGAAGGCAGCCUCCUGGGAUAACACUGACGCUCAUGCACGAAAGCGUGGGGAGCAAACAGGAUUAGAUACCCUGGUAGUCCACGCCCUAAACGAUGUCAACUAGCUGUUGGGGUCUUCGGACCUUGGUAGCGCAGCUAACGCGUGAAGUUGACCGCCUGGGGAGUACGGUCGCAAGAUUAAAAC